AUUGAACGCUGGCGGCAGGCCUAACACAUGCAAGUCGAGCGGAUGAAGGGAGCUUGCUCCUGGAUUCAGCGGCGGACGGGUGCGUAAUGCCUAGGAAUCUGCCUGGUAGUGGGGGAUAACGUCCGGAAACGGGCGCUAAUACCGCAUACGUCCUGAGGGAGAAAGUGGGGGAUCUUCGGACCUCACGCUCUCAGAUGAGCCUAGGUCGGAUUAGCUAGUUGGUGGGGUAAAGGCCUACCAAGGCGACGAUCCGUAACUGGUCUGAGAGGAUGAUCAGUCACACUGGAACUGAGACACGGUCCAGACUCCUACGGGAGGCAGCAGUGGGGAAUAUUGGACAAUGGGCGAAAGCCUGAUCCAGCCAUGCCGCGUGUGUGAAGAAGGUCUUCGGAUUGUAAAGCACUUUAAGUUGGGAGGAAGGGCAGUAAGUUAAUACCUUGCUGUUUUGACGUUACCAACAGAAUAAGCACCGGCUAACUUCGUG
rnacentral:rRNA from 1 species